GAAGAACUUACGGUGAUUGUUUUUGAAAGUGAGGCGCUUUGCCAUAACAUGUUGCAAAGACUUGAAACAAAUACAAAAAAUAUGUGCGAAACAAAAGAAAUUCUAAAGGAAACGAGUGAACAAAUCUCCAAUAUGAAAACGUCAUCAAAUGUGACAAAUCAAAAAGAAAACAGUAAUAGAAGAUAUGCCGCCAAGACCACAGGUAAACAAAUUUUGAGGAAUUAGAAGAUUAUCUCUGCCUACUACAACAAGCAGGCUUCUUUGAACUGCUAUUGUCCCAGAUAGGUGGUAAUGGGAAAAAGAACAAUGUGGAGCGUAUAUUAA